AUUGAACGCUGGCGGCAUGCUUUACACAUGCAAGUCGAACGGUAACAGGUUAAGCUGACGAGUGGCGAACGGGUGAGUAAUGCAUCGGAACGUGCCCGGUCGUGGGGGAUAACGCAGCGAAAGCUGCGCUAAUACCGCAUACGAUCUAAGCAUGAAAGCUGGGGCCCGUAAGGCCUCGCGCGAUCGGAGCGGCGCAUGUCAGAUUAGGUAGUUGGUGGGGUAAAGGCUCACCAAGCCAACGAUCUGUAGCUGGUCUGAGAGGACGACCAGCCACACUGGGACUGAGACACGGCCCAGACUCCUACGAGAGGCAGCAGUGGGGAAUUUUGGACAAUGGGCGAAAGCCUGAUCCAGCAAUGCCGCGUGCAGGAAGAAGGCCUUCGGGUUGUAAACUGCUUUUGUACGGAGCGAAAAGGUCUCCUCUAAUACAGGGGGCUCAUGACGGUACCGUAAGAAUAAGCACCGGCUAACUACGUGCCAGCCGCCGCCGUAA
rnacentral:rRNA from 1 species